AUGAAUGGUCGUACAAAAAAUAAUCUGUCUCAUCUGCAAAAGUAAAAUUUUACUUUUGAGUGAAAAGGCUCAAAUAUAUUAAGGGGACGAUAAGACCCUAUAAAACCUUAUAUAAAAGAAUUAAUUUUUAAAUUAUGGUAUAAGAGUGGAUUAGUUUUUGUUUAUUAUGUUGGGGCGACAAGAAUAUAAAUAGGUAACUGUUUGAGAAUUAAAAUAAUUAUUUUUAGAGAUAUUGAUCCUUUUUUAAGGAUUAUAAGAAAAAGUUACUUUAGGGAUAACAGCGU
rnacentral:rRNA from 1 species